GACGGACGCUGGCGGCGUGCUUAACACAUGCAAGUCGAACGGUGAAGCGCCUUCCUUUUUGGUGGGUGUGGAUGAGUGGCGAACGGGUGAGUAACACGUGAGUAACCUGCCCCCUUCUUCUGGAUAACCGCAUGAAAGUGUGGCUAAUACGGGAUAUUCUGGGUCUGUCGCAUGAUGGGUCUGGGAAAGAUAUUGUUUCGGUGGGGGAUGGGCUCGCGGCCUAUCAGCUUGUUGGUGGGGUGAUGGCCUACCAAGGCGGUGACGGGUAGCCGGCCUGAGAGGGUGGACGGUCACACAGGGACUGAGACACGGCCCAGACUCCUACGGGAGGCAGCAGUGGGGAAUAUUGCACAAUGGGCGCAAGCCUGAUGCAGCGACGCCGCGUGAGGGAUGGAGGCCGUCGGGUUGUGAACCUCUUUCGCCAGUGAAGCAGGCCUGCCUCGUUUGUGGGUGGGUUGACGGUAGCUGGAUAAGAAGCGCCGGCUAACUACGUG
rnacentral:rRNA from 1 species